rnacentral:rRNA from 1 species
CCCUUAGAUGUUCUGGGCCGCACGCGCGCUACACUGAUGCAUUCAACGAGUCUAAAACCUGGUCUGAUAGGGCUGGGUAAUCUUUUGAAUGUGCAUCGUGAUUGGGAUAGAUGAUUGCAAUUCUUCAUCUUCAACGAGGAAUGCCUAGUAAACGCAAGUCAUCAGCUUGCAUUGAUUACGUCCCUGCCCUUUGUACACACCGCCCGUCGCUCCUACCGAUUGAAUGUUCCGAUGAAUACCAUAGACUGAGAGUAUGAAUGGGUUCGCCUAUUUCUGCUUCUCGGGAAGUGGAGUAAAUCUUAACAUUUAGAGGAAGGAGAAGUCGUAACA